GUUAAGCAAGACUUCUUUCCGUUUUGCCUGCAUUAAACAUUGACGAAAGAUAAGUGCGAAGAAAAGACGGUCACAGGAAGGAUAUUCGGAGUGGAUAUCAGAAAAGUGUAAGUGCACUUCCUGUGAAAACGACAAAGACCCCGCCGGAUGUGUCAAUUUAGCGCCAUCUUGUAACUUGGAGAUGAGGCUCGGAAAGGAUUUUGAUAGAUGAAACUUGACCUCGAUGUCUCGAGAUGUUUCAUCUCAGAUAAACGCGACAAAUGAGAUAUUUUUAAAAUAACCACAAUAAGUUAAAGACACUUUAAAAGUUUCAUAAAAAAAUGUCAUCACUGGUAAUAAAAGAUUUUCUUAAUUAAUCCU
rnacentral:misc_RNA from 1 species